rnacentral:piRNA from 1 species
AGAAGGAAGAACACCACACAGAUGGAC